rnacentral:rRNA from 1 species
GACGAACGCUGGCGGCGUGCCUAAUACAUGCAAGUCGAACGCAGUGGGGACGGGUGAGUAACACGUGGGUAACCUCCCAUCAGAGGGGAUAACACUUGGAAACAGGUGCUAAACCGAUACUGAUGGAUGGACCCGCGGUGCAUUAGCUAGUUGGUGAGGUAACGGCUCACCAAGGCCACGUUGCAUCGCCGACCUGCGAGGGGAAUCGGCCACACUGGGACUGAGACAGGGCCCAGAAUCGUGCGGGAGGCAGCAGUAGGGAAUCUUCGGCAAUGGACGAAAGUCUGACCGAGCAAUGCCGCGUGAGUGAAGAAGGUUGUCGGAUCGUAAAACUCUGUUGUUAGAGAAGCGGUAUCUAACCAGAAAGCCACGGCUAACGACGUGCCAGCCGCCGCGGUAAGUC